UGGGGAAUUUUGGACAAUGGGCGAAAGCCUGAUCCAGCAAUGCCGCGUGUGUGAAGAAGGCCUUCGGGUUGUAAAGCACUUUUGUCCGGAAAGAAAUGGCUCUGGUUAAUACCUGGGGUCGAUGACGGUACCGGAAGAAUAAGGACCGGCUAACUACGUGCCAGCAGCCGCGGUAAUACGUAGGGUCCAAGCGUUAAUCGGAAUUACUGGGCGUAAAGCGUGCGCAGGCGGUUGUGCAAGACCGAUGUGAAAUCCCCGAGCUUAACUUGGGAAUUGCAUUGGUGACUGCACGGCUAGAGUGUGUCAGAGGGGGGUUAGAAUUCCACGUGUAGCAGUGAAAUGCGUAGAGAUGUGGAGGAAUACCGAUGGCGAAGGCAGCCCCCUGGGAUAACACUGACGCUCAUGCACGAAAGCGUGGGGAGCAAACAGGAUUAGAUACCCUGGUAGUCCACGCCCUAAACGAUGUCAACUAGUUGUUGGGGAUUCAUUUCCUUAGUAACGCUAGCUAACGCGUNAAGUUGACCCCUGGGGAGUACGGUCGCAAGUUAAAA
rnacentral:rRNA from 1 species